UACGUAGGGGGCAAGCGUUGUCCGGAUUUAUUGGGCGUAAAGAGCGUGUAGGCGGUCAGGUAGGUCCGUUGUGAAAACUUGAGGCUCAACCUCGAGACGCCGAUGGAAACCAUCUGACUAGAGUCCGGAAGAGGAGAGUGGAAUUCCUGGUGUAGCGGUGAAAUGCGCAGAUAUCAGGAAGAACACCCGUGGCUAAGGCGGCUCUCUAGUACGGUACUGACGCUGAGACGCGAAAGCGUGGGGAGCGAACAGG
rnacentral:rRNA from 1 species